rnacentral:lncRNA from 1 species
AUGAGUCUCCCUGGAGUAUAAACCUGUCUGCAGUUACUCUUGAGUGAAAAUGGUUACAGAUUGUAUCAUACAGGAUGGAGAAUAGGAGAGACCUGUGUUAGUAAAAAUGGAGGAAGGUAACUCUUCUGUACGAGAAAUUGACUUGCAGUAGAACAGCCAGCCCAGCCAGGAAGUCUUCUGCCAGUGCUUUAGACAGCUCUGCUACCAGGAGACACCUGGACCCAGGGAGGCUCUAAGCCAACUCUGGGAACUUUGCCAUAAGUGGCUACGAUCAGAGGAUCAUAACAAGGAGCAGAUCUUGGAACUGCUGGUGCUGGAGCAUUUCCUGUCCAUCCCACCCGAGGAGCUCCAGUGUUGGGUACAAGAGCAUCAUCCAUUGAAUGGAAAUGAAGCUGUGUCUUUGCUGGAAGAUUGGAGAGGGAACUUCAUGAUCCUGGAUUUCAGGAAUGUUUCCUGAGGUUUCAGAUCUAGUUCCCACAGAAGUUUCCUCUCAAGUACAAUGGUCCCUAAUUGUCUCCAAGGCACAUCCCAAGCAGAUGGACUGGAAGUGCCCUGGGAGGAGGUGAUAUCUCUGGGAGCUACACAGCAGUCACCAUGUUAUCACCUCCAACACAUAGAGACCCUGCUCAAGGAUGACCCUUUGGAACCCUAUUCUCCACAAGAAAGAGACAGUGAAACUAGGCCUGAGACUGGUAAUUUGGCUCCAAAGCAGGAAGCAUCCAAAGGAAUGGAAUCACAGAAGACGCUGUUCAGUAGAAUCUGCAGAGGCAGGAACAUUUUUCAGGAUACUCAUUUUGGAGACCUUCAUGAAUGCAAGGACAGGUUUGAAAAGCAUCAAGGAAGUUUAAAGGAAGGAAAAGAACACACAUGUGAUCAGUGUGGGAAGUUUCAUGCACAACAUCAGUCUUAUUGGACACCAGAGAAUCUAUACAUGGGAAAAACCCUCUAUGUAUAA